rnacentral:rRNA from 1 species
UACGAAGGGGGCUAGCGUUGCUCGGAAUUACUGGGCGUAAAGCGCACGUAGGCGGCUCUUUAAGUCGGGGGUGAAAUCCUGGAGCUCAACUCCAGAACUGCCUUCGAUACUGAAGAGCUUGAGUCCGGGAGAGGUGAGUGGAACUGCGAGUGUAGAGGUGAAAUUCGUAGAUAUUCGCAAGAACACCAGUGGCGAAGGCGGCUCACUGGCCCGGUACUGACGCUGAGGUGACGAAAGGCGUGGGGAGCAAACAGGG